CCGUUAGCCUAACACCAAAGCCACAAACCGCAUGUUAUCGAAACAAAUUCAAACGGGGGAGGAAAUUCGAUUGCUUCUUAUGUUGUGGACGCAGUGCCGAGUUAAACAAAGACUCUGCCACAACGUACAAACUCAAAAUGAGGCACAGACGUGAGCUAGGAGACUUGCAUAUUAUCUUCAGGGCAAAUCUUGCUGCUUUGCAUGCAGUGAACGUCUGGCUCUCGGUUUUUCCCGUGAAUGAACAAAAGAAAAAAAGAAAGUCUAUUCAUGUCGCAAGGUCAUCGACAUCCAAAUGCGUUGGACAGGUAUAAAGCCGCAGCACAAAAGAGAAAUGACGCAGUCGCUCCCUGACAACCGUGCCACUUUCUUCUAUACCAGUUAAUCAAAUUUAAUAGGCAAUGAACGCAUCCAUUUCCGUGUACCUGAUUGUUGGCGUCUUGUUGGUGACGUCAUCAGUUCGUUCAGCACCGCAGCAAUCUGAGUAAGGAUAGGCUUCGCCAAUUAGGGAAGACCAUGGGAAAAGGUAGAAAUAAUAUCCUUUUAAAACAAAAUCGAAUUGCAGGGCACAAGGUGGGAAUAAAACGAGUCCAAGCAACAACCGCAGGUUGACUGAACGACUCACCGUUACUAAUAUUCGCGUUUGUCAAACGGGUUAUUAUCGUGAUUUCCUCGGUAAAUGCCGCAAGACAUAUUGAAUGUACAUAAACCACUGGUGAAAUGAAUACACGACAUCAAUCAAUAAA